CCGCGCUGCGCCCGCGCCUGCGCGCGCCGCCCUCCCCGCCGCGCUGUUUACUGUUUGGUUGCCGGGGCGCCGAGGAGCGCGGCACGUCAGGGACGUGACGUCCCACUCCCCGCGGAGACGCUACGAGCCAACGCCAUGACGCAAGUGCUUCCGGCCGUGCCCAUAUAUGGGAAAGCGGCGGUGCCGUCUUCCCUUCGUUGGCCCGGGGCUGCGGCUCGCGCGUGCGGCUGGGCUGCGGGAAGUCAAAAUAGAACAGGAAGCCUGCCAAAAAGUCAUCAGAGCCAAUGGACAGUCAAGAUCUUUUGCUGAUAAGGUUGUUCUUUGACAAUGCUUCCUGCAAACCUUCCAGACAUACUAGGUGUGCUGGUGACUUGGGGAGAUGCUGAAGUGAAACUAAAAAAACCCACUCAUUCUUCUGACUGGGAAACAGCGGAUGUCCACAAGGGACCUGGAUAUUAUAUCAAUAGGAUAUCACAGGAAAACAAAAGAAGGUCAUAACUAACACAUGGACAAAGCAUCUCGAUUGUUUCUAAUUAUGGAGCUCUUGUUCUGUUUUUUUCUCCGCAUCUUUGGUCUGCAGAAUAACAGCUUU
rnacentral:lncRNA from 1 species